rnacentral:sRNA from 1 species
GCGGAGGAAAAGAAACCAACAGGGAUUGCCCUAGUAACGGCGAGUGAAGCGGCAACAGCUCAAAUUUGAAAUCUGGCUUCGGCCCGAGUUGUAAUUUGCAGAGGAAGCUUUAGGCGCGGCACCUCCUGAGUCCCCUGGAACGGGGCGCCACAGAGGGUGAGAGCCCCGUAUAGUUGGAUGCCUAGCCUGUGUAAAGCUCCUUCGACGAGUCGAGUAGUUUGGGAAUGCUGCUCAAAAUGGGAGGUAAAUUUCUUCUAAAGCUAAAUACCGGCCAGAGACCGAUAGCGCACAAGUAGAGUGAUCGAAAGAUGAAAAGCACUUUGAAAAGAGGGUUAAAUAGCACGUGAAAUUGUUGAAAGGGAAGCGCUUGUGACCAGACUUGCGCCGGGCUGAUCAUCCGGUGUUCUCACCGGUGCACUCUGCCCGGCUCAGGCCAGCAUCGGUUCUCGCGGGGGGAUAAAGGCCCUGGGAACGUAGCUCCUCCGGGAGUGUUAUAGCCCGGGGCGCAAUGCCCUCGCGGGGACCGAGGUUCGCGCUCUGCAAGGAUGCUGGCGUAAUGGUCAUCAGCGACCCGUCUUGAAACACGGACCAAGGAGUCAAGGUUUUGCGCGAGUGUUUGGGUGUAAAACCCGCACGCGUAAUGAAAGUGAACGUAGGUGAGAGCUUCGGCGCAUCAUCGACCGAUCCUGAUGUUCUCGGAUGGAUUUGAGUAGGAGCGUUAAGCCUUGGACCCGAAAGAUGGUGAACUAUGCUUGGAUAGGGUGAAGCCAGAGGAAACUCUGGUGGAGGCUCGCAG